rnacentral:rRNA from 1 species
AUUGAAUGCUGGCGGCAUGCUUUACACAUGCAAGUCGAACGGUAACAGGCCGCAAGGUGCUGACGAGUGGCGAACGGGUGAGUAAUGCAUCGGAACGUGCCCAGUCGUGGGGGAUAACGCAGCGAAAGCUGCGCUAAUACCGCAUACGAUCUAUGGAUGAAAGCGGGGGACCGUAAGGCCUCGCGCGAUUGGAGCGGCCGAUGUCAGAUUAGGUAGUUGGUGGGGUAAAGGCUCACCAAGCCAACGAUCUGUAGCUGGUCUGAGAGGACGACCAGCCACACUGGGACUGAGACACGGCCCAGACUCCUACGGGAGGCAGCAGUGGGGAAUUUUGGACAAUGGGCGCAAGCCUGAUCCAGCAAUGCCGCGUGCAGGAAGAAGGCCUUCGGGUUGUAAACUGCUUUUGUACGGAACGAAACGGCUCUCACUAAUACUGGGGGCUAAUGACGGUACCGUAAGAAUAAGCACCGGCUAACUACGUGCCAGCCGCCGGGUAACAC